rnacentral:rRNA from 1 species
AGCGAACGCUGGCGGCAGGCCUAACACAUGCAAGUCGAGCGCCCAGCAAUGGGAGCGGCAGACGGGUGAGUAACACGUGGGGAUCUACCCAAUGGUACGGAAUAACCCAGGGAAACUUGGAUUAAUACCGUAUGUGCCCUUCGGGGGAAAGAUUUAUCGCCAUUGGAUGAACCCGCGUCGGAUUAGCUAGUUGGUGAGGUAAAGGCUCACCAAGGCGACGAUCCGUAGCUGGUCUGAGAGGAUGAUCAGCCACACUGGGACUGAGACACGGCCCAGACUCCUACGGGAGGCAGCAGUGGGGAAUAUUGGACAAUGGGCGCAAGCCUGAUCCAGCCAUGCCGCGUGAGUGAUGAAGGCCUUAGGGUUGUAAAGCUCUUUCGCCGGUGAAGAUAAUGACGGUAACCGGAGAAGAAGCCCCGGCUAACUUCGUGCCAGCAGCCGCGGUAA